rnacentral:rRNA from 1 species
UACGUAGGGUGCAAGCGUUGUCCGGAAUUAUUGGGCGUAAAGGGCUCGUAGGCGGUCCAUCACGUCGGGAGUGAAAAGCUGGGGCUUAACCCCAGUCCUGCUUCCGAUACGGGUGGACUAGAGGUAGGCAGGGGAGAACGGAAUUCCUGGUGUAGCGGUGAAAUGCGUAGAUAUCGGGAGGAACACCGAUGGCGAAGGCAGCACUCUGGGCCGGUACUGACGCUGAGGAGCGAAAGCGUGGGAGCGAACAGG